AGCUUGACUUCCCUCUUUUUUGUGGCAGCCUCUGAGAUAUUGGCAUACUGCUAUCAUGUCAUCCCAGUCCAUUUUUUCAUUAAACUAGAUGUACCCAAUUCCUGCAACCGUUCUUCAUGUUUUUGCCUCCAGUCCCCUAAUCAUCUUUGUUGCUCUUCUCUGCACUCUUUCUAGUAUCUCAACAUCUUUUUUUUUUUCGUGGUGAUCCAAACUGGAUGGUUUUUGCUAUUGACCUGAUUGGCUAGGUAUGACAAGAACUGAAGUCCGAAGUAAAUGAUGCUUCCAAACCUUCUCUAUAUUUUCUUUAUGAUUGUAAAGCUAGAUUUCAUGAUUCUGAAUCCAUUAAACUGUAUGACUUUUACAACUUUGCAUCAAAAAUUGCAGUAUUUUAACAGCAGCUAGGAAGAGAGAAUUUCAAGAAACAGAAAUAUAUAGGAAGCAAAACCAAGAAAAAAAGCCUGAAAUCAGAGUAGAUUGCACAGUUCAUAUUCUUCAGUUUUCAGCUAAAUGAUUGUAGUAGAUACUGAAUAAAAUAUCUUCACGUAAGCAUAAACAAACUGUGCGUUUCCAGAAAUGAUCUUUGCUGAUAUCUCAUACUGUCAAGGUUUAGCAUUUCUGAGUAAAAUUUAAUGUAUGUAUCAAAACAAACUGCUGAUGGAAAAAUAUGAAAUGUUUUGAUGCAAUAAAGGAAAGAGCAGCUUGAAAAUGUUCACAUCUAAGUUAAAAAAUAAAAUGGCAAGCAUUGAAGAUC